rnacentral:tRNA from 1 species
UGGGUUAUGGCUCAGUGGUAAAGUGUUUGCCUAGCAUGCAUGAGGUACUGGGUUCGAUUCUCAGCACCACAU